UACGGAGGGGGGCUAGCGUUGUUCGGAAUUACUGGGCGUAAAGCGCACGUAGGCGGCUUUGUAAGUUAGAGGUGAAAGCCCGGGGCUCAACUCCGGAAUUGCCUUUAAGACUGCAUCGCUAGAAUUGUGGAGAGGUAAGUGGAAUUCCGAGUGUAGAGGUGAAAUUCGUAGAUAUUCGCAAGAACACCAGUGGCGAAGGCGGCUCACUGGCCCGAUACUGACGCUGAGGCACGAAAGCGUGGGGAGCAAACAGG
rnacentral:rRNA from 1 species